GCAAGUCGAACGAGAUUUAUGACUUCGGUUAUAAUGACAGUGGCGCACGGGUGCGUAACGCGUAUGCAACCUACCCUUUACUGGGGGAUAGCCCGGAGAAAUCCGGAUUAAUACCCCAUAGUAUCACAGAUUGGCAUCAUGAAAUGAUUAAAGAUUUAUUGGUAAAGGAUGGGCAUGCGUGACAUUAGAUAGUUGGUGAGGUAAUGGCUCACCAAGUCCACGAUGUCUAGGGGUUCUGAGAGGAUGAUC
rnacentral:rRNA from 1 species